CCUACGGGUGGCAGCAGUGGGGAAUAUUGGGCAAUGGGCGCAAGCCUGACCCAGCAACGCCGCGUGAAGGAUGAAGGCCUUCGGGUUGUAAACUGCUUUUAUAAGCGAGAAAUAUGAUGGUAACUUAUGAAUAAGGAUCUGCUAACUACGUGCCAGCAGCCGCGGUCAUACGUAGGAUCCGAGCAUGAGCCGGAGUGACUGGGUGUAAAGAGUUGCGUAGGUGGCAUAAUAAGUAGCUAGUGAAAUCUGGUGGCUCAACCAUUCAGACUAUUAGCUAAACUGUUAAGCUCGAGACCGUUAGGGGUAACUGGAAUUUCUAGUGUAGGAGUGAAAUCCGUAGAUAUUAGAAGGAACACCAAUAGCGUAGGCAGGUUACUGGGACGGUUCUGACACUAAGGCACGAAAGCGUAGGGAGCAAACGGGAUUAGAUACCCCUGUAGUC
rnacentral:rRNA from 1 species